CGAGUGGCGAACGGGUGAGUAAUACAUCGAACGUGUCCGCUCGUGGGGGGACGAAACCCAGCCCGAAAGGUUGGCUAAUACCGCAUGAGUUCUACGGAAGAAAGAGGGGACCCGGCAAGGGCCUCUCGCGAGCGGAGCGGCCGAUGACUGAUUAGCCGGUUGGUGAGGUAACGGCUCACCAAAGCAACGAUCAGUAGCUGGUCUGGGAGGACGACCAGCCACACUGGGACUGAGACACGGCCCAGACUCCUACGGGAGGCAGCAG
rnacentral:rRNA from 1 species